rnacentral:rRNA from 1 species
GAAUAUUGGACAAUGGGGGGAACCCUGAUCCAGCCAUGCCGCGUGUGUGAUGAAGGCCUUUUGGUUGUAAAGCACUUUAAGCGAGGAGGAGGCUACUGAGAUUAAUACUCUUGGAUAGUGGCCGUUACCCGCCGCAUAAGCACCGGCCAACCCCGUGCCAGCAGCCGCGGUAAUACAGAGGGUGCAAGCGUUAAUCGGAUUUACUGGGCGUAAAGCGCGCGUAGGUGGCCAAUUAAGUCAAAUGUGAAAUCCCCGAGCUUAACUUGGGAAUUGCAUUCGAUACUGGUUGGCUAGAGUAUGGGAGAGGAUGGUAGAAUUCCAGGAGUAGCGGUGAAAUGCGUAGAGAUCUGGAGGAAUACCGAUGGCGAAGGCAGCCAUCUGGCCUAAUACUGACACUGAGGUGCGAAAGCAUGGGGAGCAAACA